UCACUGACCUGAGUCAGAAUGGCACAGGGCAUUAUGAUUCUGUCCUUCCUUGGUGAGCACUUGGCCAACUGGUCACCUGGGCUAAGAGGAAAGAACAAGCAUGGAACAGUACUGAGGAUAGUUCUGUCCCAUUUCUCCUGGUGUCCUAAAACCUUACAAGAAAUGGAUUCAGGUGCUCAGAUGAAUACACAGUUACAGCAAAUAUACAAAACCUGGGAAGAUGCCUCCUGUGACACCUCUCAGGGGACCAGGGGUUUGUCUUGUGUCUGUGGUGACCCUCACAACAGCCUUGGACCCAUUAAAGCAUUUGGUGCUGAUUUAUAUUUUCUAAGUGCUGUUCCCUGGGGGUAGUUCAUCUGUGGGCACCAUUUCAUCUGAACAGGAAGCUCCACCUGAACAUUACCUCUGUAGUAACCAGAGCUCAAUCUCACUACCAGCAUGGUUGGCCUACUUGGAAAUAAGGAGGAAUCAUAAGUCCUGGCCUUACUCAGAUGUCUGACACUUUUUAGGAUUGUGGGUCUCCAAGUUUCCCAUCUCAUUAUUUUGAGCAGAGACAUCCAAGGGAAGGAAGAAUUUGCCUUACUGCAAACAGCUGAUGAGAGCCCCUGCACAGCACCUUCUCAGAGGGAUCUGCUCUACUCCUUGUCCUGCCUUGUUCUGACACAGGCACGGCCUCAAAUGUUCCUGAAGCCUGAGGAGACCAUGAUGUAAUUGGUUCUCUGAAUGGUGCUGCUUUGUUUGCAUUUAAUAGGCUCAUCUGCACCACUGAGGGGGUCUUAUGGCCCCAAAUCUGCCCUGAGGGGAUCUUGUGGCUCCAAAUCUGGCCUGCCUUUCCCAGAGGCACAGAGCAAGUCAGGCAGAUGCUAAGCAGGAUGGAGGGUGGUUCAUGCUUAGGUCCCAAGGCAUUAAUCCCCCCAUAUCCAAAUCCAGAGAACCAGGCUGGCUCUUCCAGCUGCAUGCUGGACACAGAUCCACCAAGGAAACUCUGAGGCUGCUUGGGAGGGCUGCAGGGAGGCUGGGACAGGUGAUGUGCACAGCUUGGUGUGUCCUACACUGCUCUGCCAUCAGGCCACGGCCAAACCCAGAUCUUCCUGGUGUAAUCAGUGCCCAAAAUUCACAUCCAUCCAUCUCUCCUUGUAGCUGUGCUUCCCCAUAUCUUUAAGUAACCCUGCCUGGAUUUUACUGCUGACCUAGCAGAGAUGAAUAUCCACCUCAAGCGUUUCUGGAAAGGUUCCCCCUCCUGCUCCUGCAAGCUCGGGGUCAGUCCUGUGGUCAGUCCAACACAGCAUUAGCUGGGCACUUCACUGGGAGAAGCUGCAAAAGAUUUGGGCCUCCAGGGCUGCCACUGAGACAGCUUAAAGCUGAGUUGUGUGACAGUGAGAAAGAAUAGAUAGGGUGAUAGAAAAACUCUGCCAUGGCUUCAGACAAUAAAGACUGUGUCUCCCUUGUGAUGAAU